UCAUCUUCGGGGGUAGAGCACUGUUUCGGCUAGGGGGUCAUCCCGACUUACCAACCCGAUGCAAACUACGAAUACCGAAGAAUGUUAUCACGGGAGACACACGGCGGGUGCUAACGUCCGUCGUGAAGAGGGAAACAACCCAGACCGCCAGCUAAGGUCCCAAAGUCAUGGUUAAGUGGGAAACGAUGUGGGAAGGCACAGACAGCCAGGAUGUUGGCUUAGAAGCAGCCAUCAUUUAAAGAAAGCGUAAUAGCUCACUGGUCGAGUCGGCCUGCGCGGAAGAUGUAACGGGGCUAAACCAUGCACCGAAGCUGCGGCAGCGACACUAUGUGUUGUUGGGUAGGGGAGCGUUCUGUAAGCCUGCGAAGGUGUGCUGUGAGGCAUGCUGGAGGUAUCAGAAGUGCGAAUGCUGACAUAAGUAACGAUAAAGCGGGUGAAAAGCCCGCUCGCCGGAAGACCAAGGGUUCCUGUCCAACGUUAAUCGGGGCAGGGUGAGUCGACCCCUAAGGCGAGGCCGAAAGGCGUAGUCGAUGGGAAACAGGUUAAUAUUCCUGUACUUGGUGUUACUGCGAAGGGGGGACGGAGAAGGCUAUGUUAGCCGGGCGACGGUUGUCCCGGUUUAAGCAUGUAGGCUGAUUGUCCAGGCAAAUCCGGAUAAUCAAGGCUGAGGUGUGAUGACGAGGCACUACGGUGCUGAAGUAACAAAUGCCCUGCUUCCAGGAAAAGCCUCUAAGCAUCAGGUAACAUUAAAUCGUACCCCAAACCGACACAGGUGGUCAGGUAGAGAAUACCAAGGCGCUUGAGAGAACUCGGGUGAAGGAACUAGGCAAAAUGGUGCCGUAACUUCGGGAGAAGGCACGCUGGUGUGUAGGUGAAGNUGGAGCUGAGACCAGUCGAAGAUACCAGCUGGCUGCAACUGUUUAUUAAAAACACAGCACUGUGCAAACACGAAAGUGGACGUAUACGGUGUGACGCCUGCCCGGUGCCGGAAGGUUAAUUGAUGGGGUUAUCCGUAAGGAGAAGCUCUUGAUCGAAGCCCCGGUAAACGGCGGCCGUAACUAUAACGGUCCUAAGGUAGCGAAAUUCCUUGUCGGGUAAGUUCCGACCUGCACGAAUGGCGUAAUGAUGGCCAGGCUGUCUCCACCCGAGACUCAGUGAAAUUGAACUCGCUGUGAAGAUGCAGUGUACCCGCGGCAAGACGGAAAGACCCCGUGAACCUUUACUAUAGCUUGACACUGAACAUUGAGCCUUGAUGUGUAGGAUAGGUGGGAGGCUUUGAAGCGUGGACGCCAGUCUGCGUGGAGCCAACCUUGAAAUACCACCCUUUAAUGUUUGAUGUUCUAACGUUGGCCCCUUACCGGGGUUGCGGACAGUGUCUGGUGGGUAGUUUGACUGGGGCGGUCUCCUCCCAAAGCGUAACGGAGGAGCACGAAGGUUAGCUAAUCCUGGUCGGACAUCAGGAGGUUAGUGCAAUGGCAUAAGCUAGCUUGACUGCGAGCGUGACGGCGCGAGCAGGUGCGAAAGCAGGUCAUAGUGAUCCGGUGGUUCUGAAUGGAAGGGCCAUCGCUCAACGGAUAAAAGGUACUCCGGGGAUAACAGGCUGAUACCGCCCAAGAGUUCAUAUCGACGGCGGUGUUUGGCACCUCGAUGUCGGCUCAUCACAUCCUGGGGCUGAAGUAGGUCCCAAGGGUAUGGCUGUUCGCCAUUUAAAGUGGUACGCGAGCUGGGUUUAGAACGUCGUGAGACAGUUCGGUCCCUAUCUGCCGUGGGCGCUGGAGAAUUGAGGGGGGCUGCUCCUAGUACGAGAGGACCGGAGUGGACGCAUCACUGGUGUUCGGGUUGUCAUGCCAAUGGCACUGCCCGGUAGCUAAAUGCGGAAGAGAUAAGUGCUGAAAGCAUCUAAGCACGAAACUUGCCCCGAGAUGAGUUCUCCCUGAGACUUUAAGUCUCCUGAAGGAACGUUNGACGUUGAUAGGCCGGGUGUGUAAGCGCAGCGAUGCGUUGAGCUAACCGGUACUAAUGAACCGUGAGGCUUAACCUU
rnacentral:rRNA from 1 species